GCCGGGCGGGUGCUAUACAUGCAGUCGAACGCGCAGCGAAGAGUGCUUGCACUCUUCAAGCGAGUGGCGAACGGGUGAGUAACACGUGAAUAACCUACCGAAAAGCAGGGGAUAACAUUUGGAAACAGAUGCUAAUACCGUAUAAAACGUGCUGUCGCAUGACAAAACGUUAAAAGGUCCGUUUGGACCACUUUUUGAUGGAUUCGCGGUGCAUUAGUUAGUUGGUGGGGUAAAGGCCUACCAAGACGAUGAUGCAUAGCCGAGUUGAGAGACUGACCGGCCACAUUGGGACUGAGACACGGCCCAAACUCCUACGGGAGGCUGCAGUAGGGAAUCUUCCACAAUGGGCGAAAGCCUGAUGGAGCAACGCCGCGUGUGUGAUGAAGGCUUUCGGGUCGUAAAGCACUGUUGUAUGGGAAGAACGGUAAGGGUAGGAAAUGAUCUUUACAUGACGGUACCAUACCAGAAAGGGACGGCUAAAUACGUGCCAGCAGCCGCGGUAAUACGUAUGUCCCGAGCGUUAUCCGGAUUUAUUGGGCGUAAAGCGAGCGCAGACGGUUCGAUAAGUCUGAAGUGAAAGCCCACAGCUCAACUGUGGAAGUGCUUUGGAAACUGUCGAACUUGAGUGCAGUAGAGGUAAGUGGAACUCCAUGUGUAGCGGUGGAAUGCGUAGAUAUAUGGAAGAACACCAGUGGCGAAGGCGGCUUACUGGACUGCAACUGACGUUGAGGCUCGAAAGUGUGGGUAGCAAACAGGAUUAGAUACCCUGGUAGUCCACACCGUAAACGAUGAACACUAGGUGUUAGAGGGUUUCCGCCCUUUAGUGCCGAAGCUAACGCAUUAAGUGUUCCGCCUGGGGAGUACGACCGCAAGGUUGAAACUCAAAGGAAUUGACGGGGACCCGCACAAGCGGUGGAGCAUGUGGUUUAAUUCGAAGCAACGCGAAGAACCUUACCAGGUCUUGACAUCCUUUGAAGGUACUAGAGAUAGUGCUGUUUUCUUCGGAAACAAAGUGACAGUGUGCAUGGCCGUCGUCAGCUCGUGUCGUGAGAUGUUGGGUUAGUCCCGCACGAGCGCAACCCUUAUGUUUAGUUGCCAGCAUUCAGUUGGGCACUUCUAGACAGACUG
rnacentral:rRNA from 1 species